GGAAAAAGAGUGGCAACUUCCUUGGCUCUCCUAUCCUGCAGUAGGUGAGCCCUCUGCAUGGGAUCUUUCGGGGCUGAGAGCUCUUUUCUGUUAAAGGAAUGUCUGCAAAAGACAAGACAAAUACAUUUGAACAGUCCCGAGGAGAGGUAAUUUCAGAGUAGACACCUAUUUCUCCACCAGAAACAAAGCAGAUCCCAGAUCUGAAAAGCAGGCUUGAGGAGGCAAGAGGAAGCAUCCAGGAACCCCAGAGCAGGCAGUGGAUUACCCAUUGGCUCUGGGUAAAGCCAAGAGGGUUUAGAGAGGGAUUUGCGCUGUUUCAGCCUCCUGAUUCAACUCCUCUCCAAGGAAAGAGGCUCAGUAGGCCAACCAAGCCACUUUUCCUCUCUUGAGGGAAGACGACCAAAGAUGCAACUUGCCCAGCUGUCUGUUAUGAACGAAAUUGCAUCCCCGCAAAAUUCAUAUGUUGAAGGCCUAACACCUCGUACCUCAGUAUUUGACUGUAUUUGGAGACAGGGUCUUUACAGAGGUAAUAAAGGUGACACGAGGUCAUUAGAGUGGGCCCUAAUCCAUUAUGAUGGGCAUUUAUAAAAGGAGGAGAUUAGGACACAGAGAAGAAUGCAUGGAGAAAAGACCAUGUGAAGACUCAGGGAGGGUGUGGUCAUCUACAAGCCAAGGAGAGAGGCAUCAGAAGAAACAAUCCUCACAACACCUUGAUCUUGGAGUUCUAGCCUCCAGAGCAGUGAGAAAAACAAACCGCCAUCCAGGAUGUGGCCCUUUGUUAUGGCAGCCCUCGAAAACCAACACACAGCAGAACAACACCAGAGGCAAAUCAGAAAGAAAAUGAGAUGCAGACUCCAGCAGCCUGGUCUCCCAGUCAGGACACAAGCCAGACCUGGACGGAAGUGGUCACAGCACUUCUAGCUCCAAAAUAACCACUGGGUGGAGGGUCCUGGUUCCUCCUCCCACCAACCCCACGCAGCCCUCUCUAUCCCCAUCUUCUCAGGCUCACUGAGUGCAAUGUCUGCCUGCAUCCCUCUAUCAGGGGCCUUCCUCUGCCCACAGAGGGAGUUAUAUACAAGCCCGAGGAAUGAGGAAGAGAAGACAAAAGCAAGAUGGAGCCUCACUGUCUGAUUUUCCCAGACGUUCCCAGGAGGUCCUGGUUAUGCAGGGCAGUCUGGAUUUUUGGUGCGUACACCAUUAGAUGCCUCUUUCUUACUCUGCUUAGCGCACCAGGUCUGUAGGUUCUGGUUCUUAAGGGCCAUGUAGAGUCCAACUAAAAAGGGCAGGUGUUUGUUUUCCAACCCAAUUUCCUUCUAGUGGCGGAAACACUUGCAGCCCUUUCCCUUCCCUUCCUUGCCCACUGACCUCCACUCUCUCCCCUGUUGUAGACAGUGGUGUGUCUUCUGUCAAAUGCAUUUCUCCACCAGUCAUAGCACUCAUUCUGAGACAAUCACAAGCUCAGAAAACCUAACAAAAGUAGGUGCUGUUUCUUGAGUGCCUACCACGUGGCCAGCACUGUACUAGUCACUUUACUCACCAUAUUUCCAGCCCUCACAGCCACCCCUGCAGGUGGGAAUGACCACUCCCUUCCUAAAGAUGAGAAAACCUGAACUAGGAGUGGUGGCUCGCACCUGUAAUCCCAGGGACUCAGGAUGCUGAAGUAGGAGGAUCGCUUGAGCCCAAGAGUUCGACGCUGCAGUGAGCUAUGAUCCCACUGCUGCACUUUAGCCUGGGUGAAAAAGUGAGACCCUAUCUCUAAAAAAUAAAUAAAAAUAAAAAUAAAAGAUGAGAAAACCAAGGCUCAGGAGAAGUAACUUGUCCAGGGUCAGGCAGCCUGCUCUAGGCAGAGCUAGAACAGAAAGUGAGCUUUGGCUGACAUAUUUGCUUUGAACUUUUCACUCUGCAACUCUGAUGAGAAAAAGUAUAUCUACACUGUGAAAGGCUAUACAAGGAAAAUUGGAUUUUUUCCAAUUCUUAUUGAUAAUAACUAGGAGACAUUAAAAAGAAAGAGAGAGGAGCCAGGCACAGUGGUUCAUGCCCGUAAUCCCAGCACUUUGGGAGGCCAAGGUGGGCAAAUCACUUGAGCCCAGAAAUUUGAGACUAGCCUGGGCAACAUGCAAAACCCCAUCUCUAUAAAAAAAAAUACAAAAAUUAGCUGGACAUGGUGGCAGGAACCUGUAGUCCCAGCUACUCGGGAGGCUGAGAGGGGAGGAUUAUUUGAGCCCAGGAGGUGGUGGCUGCAGUGAGACAAGAUCACGCCACUGCACUCCAGCCUAGGUGACAGAGAGAGACUCUGAAAAAAAAAAAAAGAGAAAGAGAGGGAGAGGAGAGAGAGAGAAAUCUUCAACAAGCACAAAAAUGCCAUGACUUCUAAAACUAAGAUCUGAUCUCCAACUUAAAAACCUUCUGUCUCUGUUUUGCCUGCAGAGAAGUAUAAAUUCCUUUGGAGAAUGAAGCUGCUUUCCAAUGCUUGCUGUAAUAGCCCUCUGCAUCUUUCUUUCAUAACAUCCAGUACAAUUUGAAGUUAUAUAUUGGGUGAUUGUUUGAUUAAUGUUUGUCUUUCUGAAAUUUUGAGGUAGCAUGAUCAUAUAACUUAAAGUGUAAAUGGGAACACUUUUGAAAGUAAAAGGAGAUGUUAUUAAUAAUUAUUCCAGGACAAAAAGGAGACUGGAACAUGUGGUCAUCCUACAGGUGAAGCAGAGACCAACUCUGGUUUACUUGUCAUUGCAGUCCCAGUGCCAGAUUCCAUACUUGGCACAGAGUAGAUGCUCAAUAAAUAAACAUGAUGAUUGAUUUAACAA
rnacentral:lncRNA from 1 species